rnacentral:rRNA from 1 species
CAGCAGCCGCGGUAAUACGUAGGUGGCGAGCGUUAUUCGGAAUUAUUGGGCCUAGAGGGUUCGUAGGGGGUAAUGUAAGUCCGGUGUGAAAUCUCGAGGCUCAACCUCGAAACUGCAUUGGAAACUGCAUUACUUGAGUGUCAGAGAGGAAAGCGGAAUUCCUGGUGUAGCGGUGGAAUGCGUAGAUAUCAGGAAGAACACCGACGGCGAAGGCAGCUUUCUGGCUGGCGACUGACCCUGAUGAACGAAAGCUAGGGUAGCGAACAGGAUUAGAUACCCUGGUAGUCCUAGCUGUAAACGUUGUGCACUGGAUGUGGGCGGAUUUGGUCCCGUCUGUGUCUGAGCGAAGGCGUUAAGUGCACCGCCUGGGGACUACGGCCGCAAGGCUAAAACUCAAAGGAAUUGACGGGGGCCCGCACAAGCGGUGGAGCAUGUGGCUCAAUUCGAGGCAACGCGAAGAACCUUACCUGGGUUUGACAUAUACCUGACCGCCGGUGAGAGCCGGUUUCUCUUUGAGCAGGUAUACAGGUGCUGCAUGGCUGUCGACAGCUCGUGCUGUGAAGUGUUCGGUUAAGUCCGGCAACGAGCGCAACCCACGCUGUUAGUUACCAUCAGGUAAUGCUGGGGACUCUAACAGGACUGCCCGUGCUAAGCGGGAGGAAGGCGUGGACGACGUCAAGUCCGCAUGGCCCUUACGCCCAGGGCUGCACACGUGCUACAAUGGCCGGUACAGAGGGUCGCCACUCUGCGAAGAGGAGCUAAUCCCGAAAACCGGCCUCAGUUCGGAUUGGAGUCUGCAACCUGACUCCAUGAAGUAGGAAUCGCUAG